rnacentral:rRNA from 1 species
AUUGAACGCUGGCGGCAGGCCUAACACAUGCAAGUCGAGCGGAUGAAGGGAGCUCGCUCCUGGAUUCAGCGGCGGACGGGUGAGUAAUGCCUAGGAAUCUGCCUGGCCGUGGGGGAUAACGUCCGGCAACGGGCGCUAAUACCGCACACGUCCUGAGGGAGAAAGUGGGGGAUCUUCGGACCUCACGCUUUCAGAUGAGCCUAGGUCGGAUUAGCUAGUUGGUGGGGUAAAGGCUUACCAAGGCGACGAUCCGUAACUGGUCUGAGAGGAUGAUCAGUCACACUGGAACUGAGACACGGUCCAGACUCCUACGGGAGGCAGCAGUGGGGAAUAUUGGACAAUGGGCGAAAGCCUGAUGCAGCCAUGCCGCGUGUGUGAAGAAGGUCUUCGGAUUGUAAAGCACUUUAAGUUGGGAGGAAGGGCAGUAAGUUAAUACCUUGCUGUUUUGACGUUACCAACAGAAUAAGCACCGGCUAACUUCGUG